GGGGUUGUAGCUCAGUGGUAGAGCACUUGCCUAGCAUGUGUGAGGUACUGGGUUCGAUCCCCAGCACCACA
rnacentral:tRNA from 1 species